UACGGAGGGUGCGAGCGUUGUCCGGAAUCAUUGGGCGUAAAGGGCGCGUAGGUGGCGGGACAAGCGUGCGGUGAAAGCUCGGGGCUCAACCCCGCGUCGGCCGUGCGAACUGUUUUGCUUGAGCACUGUAGAGGCAGGCGGAAUUCCGGGUGUAGCGGUGGAAUGCGUAGAGAUCCGGAAGAACACCGGUGGCGAAGGCGGCCUGCUGGGCAGUAGCUGACG
rnacentral:rRNA from 1 species